rnacentral:rRNA from 1 species
UGGGGAAUUUUGGACAAUGGGCGAAAGCCUGAUCCAGCCAUGCCGCGUGAGUGAAGAAGGCCUUCGGGUUGUAAAGCUCUUUUAGCCGGGAAGAAAGAGUUGCAAUGAAUAAUUGUGAUUUAUGACGGUACCGACAGAAAAAGCACCGGCUAACUACGUGCCAGCAGCCGCGGUAAUACGUAGGGUGCGAGCGUUAAUCGGAAUUACUGGGCGUAAAGGGUGCGCAGGCGGUCUUGCAAGUCAGAUGUGAAAGCCCCGGGCUUAACCUGGGAACUGCGUUUGAAACUACAAGACUAGAGUGCAGCAGAGGGGAGUGGAAUUCCAUGUGUAGCAGUGAAAUGCGUAGAGAUGUGGAAGAACACCGAUGGCGAAGGCAGCUCCCUGGGUUGACACUGACGCUCAUGCACGAAAGCGUGGGGAGCAAACA